GCAGUGGCGGUUCAGUGGUAGAAUUCUUGCCUUCUAUGUGGGAGACCUAGGUUCAAUUCCUGGCCAACGCU
rnacentral:tRNA from 1 species